UUGGGGCCAUUGGUAGAACUAAAUCACAUAUAGCUGAGUCUGAUCAGAGAGAGAGAGAGAGAGAGAGAGAGAGAGAGAGAGAGAGAGAGAGAGAGAACAGAGGGCCAGGCCUAGAGCAACUAAAACCCACUUGUGUCUUUGGGGAUGAGCUGUAGACUGCUGGGUGGGAUCCUAAACAUGCCCUACUUUCUAUCUUGCCUAGCAGUGUUAAACUCAUGGGGAAACACUUUUCUAGGCCUCAUCUCCUGCAUUAGACUGUGUGCACUCUACUUAGAAGUGGGUGGGAGGGAUUCCUCACUAGUAUCUGAAGCAGUUAAGGUGAUACAGGGGUGGCUGUCAUUUCCCCCUCAUUCCCACAAGCUAGACAAUCUGGUCAAGUGAGCCAUCACCCAGUAGUAGAAGCCUUUUAACCUUGACUUAGCAUGACCAGCCGCUAAGUGCUGCAGUUGAAGCAGCCUGUCUACAUGGCCACUUCUCGUCCUGCAUGAGCCUCAGCAUGGAAACUAAUCUAGCUUCCCGUGCUCCUCUUCACUCCUAAAAUAGUUAGAUAUGUUCCAGAUGAGUGUGCCGCUGAGAAGCCCUUGCAUCAUUCUCCUGACGGAUGCAUAGGGCAGGUGUGAUUACAUAAUAAUGUAGACAGCUGCUGCUACGGCUACAUAAUUAAGGCGAGUAGAGAAGUGGCUGGGUGAUGGGGCCUUAGGUAGCUACCCAGAGGACUAUAUGCUGUGUCUCUAGGUCCUUGGAAGAGGCCUCCAAGCCCUGCUUCUCCUUGAAAAUGACUCCCUAGACACGGCUGCCUUGUUUGUCUGACUGCAUAAACACUCAGGGCGACAGAGAAAGCAAAGGAGGAGCUUAGGGAAGAUAGUAUUCAGGGGCAUGCUUUGCUAGCAGACAACUACCAUAUUAGUUGUUAAUGUGACUGACUUCUGGACUUACGAAGUGUAAGACAGAGACUCUGACCUACCAGGUGAGGGUAAAAGGAGCACACGAGUUCAAGGCUAAGAACUGGAAUAGCAAAGCAAGGGGAGAGGCCUGGAUGGCUUUGGCAAGGGUGAGCCUCAGCUCCUGAGCGUUUGAACAUGCUCCGUGCUUGCCCCAGUUCUGCCUUCACGUGGGAGCCAGCGACCCAAUUUCCUUUUGUUGUCGUGCUUGGAUGGUUUCUUCAUUUGAAGGGCUCCAGGAAGCUGGAAAGUCCCAUGAUUGAGCUCUAGCCUGCUGAGCAAACAAUGCCCCAGCCAAAUUGGCCUCUUCCUGGGUUUCUGCAUCCAUGUGCCCCUCUCGCCACUGAGGGUAAUCUUGGAACAGCCAGGAUGAAUGGUGCCAGCAAGCAAGGAGGAUUCUCUCGUUUCCAUUACAGACAGAGCUGUAAAGCUCAUAAGUGAAGGCUGUUGUGUGCUUAUGUGCUUAUUAUAUAGGCUGGAGAACAUAUCUAUAUAUAAUAUAUCAUAUAUAUUAUAUAAGUGUGUGUAUAAAUAUAUGUGUAUGUAUGUAUAUUUAUAUGCACAAUGCCGAAAUAGCCGCUCACUUAGGCUCAUGCAGCACAGACUAAUUAGGGUUCCACUGGCUUCUUUGCUGUUCAUGCAUGACUCUGCAGCUGCCUUCCCAUGUCCUGACUCUAAAAAAAAAAAAAAAAUCACUGAAAACUCAGAGAGGAGAGGAAGAUAAAUAAGCCUUUUUGAGAUCAAUAGGAAAAAAGGAACUCCAAGGCUGAUAGCAAAGCUUCCUAAGGAUGAUGCUGAAAGGGAACUUGGGUCUCCAUGGUGAUAAGAGACAGGGAACCAAUGAGAGCUGAAGGCGGAGCAGGACUUGUGUGGAGGACUCAUGGGAGUUGGGAGUCAUUUAACUAUUUGUUUGCUUCAUGAGAAUUUAGAUACCAGCUGUAACUGCAUUGCACAGGGUGUACAGAUGUUUUCAUUCUUGCUGACAUAUUCUGGAAGCUUUCGGCCCCACCAACACUGCCCCACCCAGGACUUCUGCAGCUGAGAGUUCCUGUGUCAGUAGGGUCUGAUAUAUGUACAUAGAUUAUACAUAUAUGUGUACAUAUGUGCCUCAAUGAACAUUGCCUGUUCACCUUAUCAUGGGUGUACAUAGACUUCAUAGAGCCCCACAGUCUUUUGUAAAUAUUGACACAAGUAAAUAAGUAUAUAAAUAUAUAUUACUGAGGAUUUAUUUUAACAUUAUUCUGUGUGAAAUGACAAAAAUAAAAUUUUUGACAGACAA
rnacentral:lncRNA from 1 species